rnacentral:sRNA from 1 species
GCGCCUGCAAAAUCAGGCGCCGGGAUUAGCCUCCUGCCAAACUUCACUGGCGACACAUGACGCUUAGCGUCUUUUUU